rnacentral:tmRNA from 1 species
GGGGGCGAAACGGUUUCGACAGAAGAGAAAGAAAAUUAAUGUGCAGGACUGUGAGAGUGACACAGUAAAAAUACUCAACUUUUUAUAAAUGCUAACAAUAAUGUUGAGCUUGAUUACGCACUAGCUGCUUAAUCGGAAGUUUUUAGUAACUUUCUUAAGAAAUACUAAACAUUUCCAGUUUUAAGAAAAACUGGUGGUACGCGCAGUGGAUUUAAAGCUUGUUGGAGCAGAAAACCAACUAAUCUUGUGAAUGACAUGAUUUUUAAUCUUUUUUGGACUCGGGUUCGACUCCCGACGCUUCCAACA